CCAGGUUACAGCAAGGACAUGGGAUUCCCCACUCAACUCCUGGUAGUCCUGCUGCUCUGGUUCUCAGGUGGCAGAUGUGACAUUCAAAUGACACAAACUCCAUCCUUCCUUUCUGCAUCUUUGGGAGACACAAUCAGCAUCACUUGCCAGGCCAGUCAGGGCAUUAUCAAUUAUUUAAACUGGUACCUGCAGAAACCAGGGAAAGCUCCUAAGCUCCUGAUCUAUUAUACAAACAGCUUGGGAGCUGGAGUCCCAUCGAGGUUCAGUGGCAGUGGGUCUGGGUCACAGUAAUCUCUCACAGUCAGCAGUAUGCAGGCUGAAGUUGCUGGCAUUUAUUUCUGUCAGCACGCUUAUGGUUACCC